rnacentral:rRNA from 1 species
UUAAGCGACUAAGCGUACACGGUGGAUGCCCUGGCAGUCAGAGGCGAUGAAGGACGUGCUAAUCUGCGAUAAGCGCCGGUAAGGUGAUAUGAACCGUUAUAACCGGCGAUUUCCGAAUGGGGAAACCCAGUGUGAUUCGUCACACUAUCAUUAACUGAAUCCAUAGGUUAAUGAGGCGAACCGGGGGAACUGAAACAUCUAAGUACCCCGAGGAAAAGAAAUCAACCGAGAUUCCCCCAGUAGCGGCGAGCGAACGGGGAGGAGCCCAGAGCCUGAAUCAGCAUGUGUGUUAGUGGAAGCGUCUGGAAAGGUGCGCGAUACAGGGUGACAGCCCCGUACACAAAAGCGCAUGUGCUGUGAGCUCGAUGAGUAGGGCGGGACACGUGGUAUCCUGUCUGAAUAUGGGGGGACCAUCCUCCAAGGCUAAAUACUCCUGACUGACCGAUAGUGAACCAGUACCGUGAGGGAAAGGCGAAAAGAACCCCGGCGAGGGGAGUGAAAAAGAACCUGAAACCGUGUACGUACAAGCAGUGGGAGCACAGGUUUACCUGUGUGACUGCGUACCUUUUGUAUAAUGGGUCAGCGACUUAUAUUCUGUAGCAAGGUUAACCGAAUAGGGGAGCCGGAGGGAAACCGAGUCUUAAUUGGGCGUUAAGUUGCAGGGUAUAGACCCGAAACCCGGUGAUCUAGCCAUGGGCAGGUUGAAGGUUGGGUAACACUAACUGGAGGACCGAACCGACUAAUGUUGAAAAAUUAGCGGAUGACCUGUGGCUGGGGGUGAAAGGCCAAUCAAACCGGGAGAUAGCUGGUUCUCCCCGAAAGCUAUUUAGGUAGCGCCUCGUGAAUUCAUCUCCGGGGGUAGAGCACUGUUUUGGCUAGGGGGCCAUCCCGGCUUACCAACCCGAUGCAAACUGCGAAUACCGGAGAAUGUUAUCACGGGAGACACACGGCGGGUGCUAACGUCCGUCGUGAAGAGGGAAACAACCCAGACCGCCAGCUAAGGUCCCAAAGUCAUGGUUAAGUGGGAAACGAUGUGGGAAGGCCCAGACAGCCAGGAUGUUGGCUUAGAAGCAGCCAUCAUUUAAAGAAAGCGUAAUAGCUCACUGGUCGAGUCGGCCUGCGCGGAAGAUGUAACGGGGCUAAACCAUGCACCGAAGCUGCGGCAGCGAACGUAUCACUUAAAGCGAUUCAGCGGGUUACGAUUGACGGAGCGAAGCGACGUCAAAGCGUAUACAAAGUCGAGUCGGUUUAAGGAUACGUUCGUUGGGUAGGGGAGCGUUCUGUAAGCCCGUGAAGGUGGCCUGUGAGGGUUGCUGGAGGUAUCAGAAGUGCGAAUGCUGACAUAAGUAACGAUAAAGCGGGUGAAAAGCCCGCUCGCCGGAAGACCAAGGGUUCCUGUCCAACGUUAAUCGGGGCAGGGUGAGUCGACCCCUAAGGCGAGGCCGAAAGGCGUAGUCGAUGGGAAACGGGUUAAUAUUCCCGUACUUGGUGUUACUGCGAAGGGGGGACGGAGAAGGCUAUGUUGGCCGGGCGACGGUUGUCCCGGUUUAAGCGUGUAGGUGUGUGUUCCAGGUAAAUCCGGUUCACUUUAACACUGAGGCGUGAUGACGAGGCACUACGGUGCUGAAGCAACAAAUGCCCUGCUUCCAGGAAAAGCCUCUAAGCAUCAGGUAACAUCAAAUCGUACCCCAAACCGACACAGGUGGUCAGGUAGAGAAUACCAAGGCGCUUGAGAGAACUCGGGUGAAGGAACUAGGCAAAAUGGUGCCGUAACUUCGGGAGAAGGCACGCUGACACGUAGGUGAAGUGAUUUACUCACGGAGCUGAAGUCAGUCGAAGAUACCAGCUGGCUGCAACUGUUUAUUAAAAACACAGCACUGUGCAAACACGAAAGUGGACGUAUACGGUGUGACGCCUGCCCGGUGCCGGAAGGUUAAUUGAUGGGGUCAGCGCAAGCGAAGCUCCUGAUCGAAGCCCCGGUAAACGGCGGCCGUAACUAUAACGGUCCUAAGGUAGCGAAAUUCCUUGUCGGGUAAGUUCCGACCUGCACGAAUGGCGUAAUGAUGGCCAGGCUGUCUCCACCCGAGACUCAGUGAAAUUGAACUCGCUGUGAAGAUGCAGUGUACCCGCGGCAAGACGGAAAGACCCCGUGAACCUUUACUAUAGCUUGACACUGAACAUUGAGCCUUGAUGUGUAGGAU